rnacentral:rRNA from 1 species
UACGUAGGGGGCUAGCGUUGUCCGGAAUCAUUGGGCGUAAAGCGCGUGUAGGCGGUCCGGUAAGUCCGCUGUGAAAGUCGGGGGCUCAACCCUCGAAAGCCGGUGGAUACUGUCGGGCUAGAGUGCGGAAGAGGCGAGUGGAAUUCCUGGUGUAGCGGUGAAAUUCGUAGAUAUUCGGAGGAACACCAGAGGCGAAGGCGGCUCACUGGCCCGGAACUGACGCUGAGGCGCGAAAGCGUGGGGAGCAAACAGG